AUCGCCAGCACCAGGGGGAUAACGUUGCGUAAGCAACGGCCCAAAGGGCGAGGCGUAGCCGAGUCAUCCUCCCGGAUGCACCA
rnacentral:sRNA from 1 species